AACGAACGCUGGCGGCAUGCCUAACACAUGCAAGUCGAACGAGACCUUCGGGUCUUGUGGCGCCCGGGUGCGUCACGCGUGGGAACCUUCCCUUAGGUUCGGACUAACUCCCCGACAGGGGUGCUAAUACCGGAUAAUGUCUUCGGACCAACGAUUUAUCGCCUUUGGAUGGGCCGGCGUUGGAUUAGCUAGUUGGUAGGGUAAAAGCCUACCAAGGCGACGAUCCAUAGCUUGGCUGAGUGGAUGAUCAGCAACACUGGGACUGAGACACGGCCCAGAAUCCUACGGGAGGCAGCAGUGGGGAAUAUUAGACAAGGGGCGAAAGUCUGAUCCAGCAACGCCGCGUGAAUGACGAAGGCCUUAGGGUUGUAAAGCUCUAUUUACCGAGAUGAGAAUGGAAGUAACGGGAGAAGAAGCCCCGGCUAAAUCCGUG
rnacentral:rRNA from 1 species